UACGUAGGGGGCAAGCGUUGUCCGGAUUUAUUGGGCGUAAAGCGCUCGCAGGUGGUUCGAUGCGUCGUGCGUGAAAGCCCCCGGCUCAACUGGGGAGGGUCACGCGAUACUGAUCGACUCGAAGGCAGGAGAGGGUAGUGGAAUUCCUGGUGUAGCGGUGAAAUGCGCAGAUAUCAGGAGGAACACCGAUGGCGAAGGCAGGUCUCUGGGCCGAUACUGACGCUGAGGAGCGAAAGCGUGGGGAGCGAACAGG
rnacentral:rRNA from 1 species